rnacentral:rRNA from 1 species
UGAUACAGUGAGGUAGUGACAAUAAAUAACGUUGACUGGUCUUAUUAGAUCAGUCGCACGGAAUGAGAACAAUUUAAACACCUUAACGAGGACCAAUUGGAGGGCAAGUCUGGUGCCAGCAGCCGCGGUAAUUCCAGCUCCAAUAGCGUAUAUUAAAGUUGUUGCAGUUAAAAAGCUCGUAGUUGGAUUUCUGGUGCAUUCCACUGGCCUAUUGGUUAACUCCAACUUGGCUCAUUUGGAAUACGCCAUCUUUAGGCAGACCCGUCGUGGCAUUAGGUUGUCGUGAUGGUUACGCCUAUCGUUUACUGUGAGGAAAUGAAAGUGUUCAAAGCAGGCUUACGCCGUUGAAUCUUUUAGCAUGGAAUAAUAAGAUAGGAUCUUGAUACUAUUUUGUUGGUUUGCGUGUUAAGAUAAUGAUGAAUAGGGACAGUUGGGGGUAUUUGUAUUCCAUUGUCAGAGGUGAAAUUCUUGGAUUUAUGGAAGACGAACUACUGCGAAAGCAUUUACCAAGGAUGUUUUCAUUAAUCAAGCACGAAAGUUAAGGGAUCGAAGAUGAUUAGAUACCAUCGUAGUCUUAACCAUAAACUAUGCCAACUAGGGAUCGGCAGUUGUUCACAUAACACUGUCGGCACCUUAUGAGAAAUCAAAGUCUUUGGGUUCCGGGGGGAGUAUGGUCGCAAGUCUGAAACUUAAAGAAAUUGACGGAAGGGCACCACCAGGAGUGGAGCCUG